rnacentral:rRNA from 1 species
AGCGGCGGACGGGUGAGUAACACGUGGGUAACCUGCCCAAGAGACUGGGAUAACACCUGGAAACAGAUGCUAAUACCGGAUAACAACACUAGACGCAUGUCUAGAGUUUGAGAGAUGGUUCUGCUAUCACUCUUGGAUGGACCUGCGGUGCAUUAGCUAGUUGGUAAGGUAACGGCUUACCAAGGCAAUGAUGCAUAGCCGAGUUGAGAGACUGAUCGGCCACAUUGGGACUGAGACACGGCCCAAACUCCUACGGGAGGCAGCAGUAGGGAAUCUUCCACAAUGGACGAAAGUCUGAUGGAGCAACGCCGCGUGAGUGAAGAAGGGUUUCGGCUCGUAAAGCUCUGUUGGUAGUGAAGAAAGAUAGAGGUAGUAACUGGCCUUUAUUUGACGGUAAUUACUUAGAAAGUCACGGCUAACUACGUGCCAGCAGCCGCGGUAAUACGUAGGUGGCAAGCGUUGUCCGGAUUUAUUGGGCGUAAAGCGAGUGCAGGCGGUUCAAUAAGUCUGAUGUGAAAGCCUUCGGCUCAACCGGAGAAUUGCAUCAGAAACUGUUGAACUUGAGUGCAGAAGAGGAGAGUGGAACUCCAUGUGUAGCGGUGGAAUGCGUAGAUAUAUGGAAGAACACCAGUGGCGAAAGCGGCUCUCUGGUCUGCAACUGUCGCUGAGGCUCGAAAGUAUGGGUAGCGAACAGGAUUAGAUACCCUGGUAGUCCAUGCCGUAACGAUGAGUGCUAAGUGU